AGCAGGCGCGUAAAUUGCCCAAUCUCAACGCGGGGAGGUAGUGACAAGAAAUAACAACAACUAACCUAUUUCAGGUGAGUUGAUUGGAAUGAGUACAAUCUAAACACCUUAACGACUAUCCAUUGGAGGGCAAGCCUGGUGCCAGCAGCCGCGGUAAUUCCAGCUCCAAUAGCGUAUACUAAUGUUGUUGCAGUUAAAAAGCUCGUAGUCGGAUUUCAGUAGGCUCAGUUAAGUCUCUUCUAUUGAGUUCUUUAUGGGCCUGCUUCUUUGACAGAAACUUCUAUGUUAUUCAUUUAGCGUGGGUAGCGACUGUCUCUUUUACUUUGAGAAAAUUAGAGUGUUCAAAGCAGGUAUUCGCCUGAAUAUUACUCUUGGAAUAAUGCUAUAAGACUUUGGUUCUAAUGUAUUGGUGAUUGGGACCAGAGUAAUGAUUGAUAGGGACGGUUGGGGUCUUACGUACUGCAAAGCGAGAGGUGAAAUUCUUGGACCUUUGUAUGACGAACAACUGCGAAAGCAUUGGACUAGGACGUUCCCGUUGAUCAAGAACGAAAGUUGGGGGAUCGAAGACGAUCAGAUACCGUCGUAGUCUCAACCAUAAACUAUGCCAGCUAGGGAUCGGAGGACGUUACAUGUUCGACUCCUUCGGCACCUUAUGAGAAAUCAAAGCAUUUGGGUUCCGGGGGGAGUAUGGUCGCAAGGCUGAAACUUAAAGGAAUUGACGGGAGGGCACCACCAGGAGUGGAGCCUGCGGCUUAAUUUGACUCAACACGG
rnacentral:rRNA from 1 species